CGGCUUCUAGCCAAAGUCCCCAAACUUCAAGGAACGUUAAAUUUAAAAUAACAAUAAAGACGUUGUACCUGGAAGCUUCUUAUGAAAAGACACCAAAGACAACCACACACUAACCCCGGUGUGCGUGAAACGAAGCGCCGUGGCCACCAGGAGGGUAGAUCCCUCCAGAACUGACGGCGGAGGAGGUGCGCGGGGAGAGGCAGCCGCGUGGGCCGUGAGCUGGCCCGGCCGGGUGGACUCCUACCUGGACAGGCCGCCCGUGGCUCCCGCCCGGCCCGCCGCCCCAGCCGGUCAGGGCGCCCUCGCUCCGCCUGUCCGGAGCUCGAAGGUCAUCCCGGGCGUCCCCACCCGCCAGCGGACACUCACUCCGUCCCGGCUCCGACGGUCACCCAGCAACCACAGCUCCGCCACGGCCCCCGGGCUGUCUCAUCCUCCCGAGAGAGGGGAGGCGCCCAGAGGAGGGGCUGUGUGGCGGCUACUUCCGGUUCCUAGCCUCUCCUAUUGGCUGUUACUCCGAGACCGGAACUGCAUCUAUUCCGGGUGCCAUUUUCCUUCAGGGCAGAAGGCGAGGGUGAAGCCCAAGAGUCUACAUGGUCCACCUCCCAGGAGAGCUUCCAGAGUUAGCAAAUGAGAUGCUUUUGCAAGGGAAGCCACUUCAUCUCUGUAAAUGACAGGUCAUGGAUGUGGCUCUGGAAAACAGAUCAAGUUUAUUUCAUCACAAUAAUCAUCUUUAAGCUUUGGUCAAAGGAGAUCCACAGCAUGCACAGUGGGAAAGGAAUCUGGCCUCCUGUGUGAGGCUGCGAUCCUGCCAUCUCCAGGGGAGGGAGCUGAGAUGCACAGAGACUGACGAGCUUGAUCACACUCCACACGGCCCCUAAAUCUCCGACCAACCCAAGCCAGCUGAUGACAGUCUUGCCCCUGCCCAGGCCCUGUGGGAGGAAGAGGCUGACAGAUCAAAAGGGUUACCAGCUGGCUACGGUGACUCACAACUGUGGGUCUGGGGCAGUGACUAAAGAGAUACAUGUCUCAAACUUCAGCUGGAUGUAGGGAGACACUGCUGCAACUCAUUAAGACAGAGUGCAGCAGAACCGAGCCCAGCUGAGUAUAAACCCCCUUCCAGUGGUGGCUUACCCAUGGACUGGCCUCUUUUGAGACCCGGUGUCAUGUUACCUAGGCAGGCCUUGGACGCCUGACCCCUGUUCUCUGACUCCCCAGUGCAGGGAAUAUAUAAACUAUGGGUUUGCUGCUUCUUCCCAACCAAGCUUUCCCACCUGCCUAGCUAUGCCCUGGUCUCUGUUCCACAGGCUUUUCUCGCCACUAAGCUCUCAGUCCACUAUGCUUGGCUUGCGGUUUCCCGUCACUUUCUCCAACGGUGUUCGCUUCUUUCUUCACCACACUCAAGUAUUUGGAUUAACCGUGCUUGGGCCUCUAUUUCUUAUGUGUCUUCUCACAGAGUUAAAGUCCAGUGAGCAGGAGCUUCUCUGCUUGUGCUCACAGUUAUACCGC